CAGGGACCUUGUAUAGUGAUAAGAAUUCCUUUUAACUGAGUAAAAGACCCUCUGCAUUUACCAGUUGGCUCACCAAUAGGAUAUUAUUUCGGAACCAAUAUUCUAAAAACAAAGAAGUAUUUUUAUACAAUAUAUCCCGAUUAGUCAAUUUGCGUAACGUUAUUGUGUAUUAUAUGUAAUGACGCAGUUUUACGUUAUUACUUAAUUACGUCACCACGCAAUGACGUCACAGCGUAAUUUAGCAACUUUUAGCAACAACUCGACCUGCCUCUAGCAAAUUCUCCUGAAAAUUUGUUGGCAACAAUGGACGUGCCCUUGCCGUAAAGCAAAACGUAUUGACGACGUAAAAGAAAAUGCAACACGGCGACCUCCGUAAUGGCAUGGGGUGUCAGGACAGUUCAUCCCAUGUGUCCCGGUGGGUCUACGAUGGGAGUGGAGGAGACAAGAUGGACAUGACUGUCACAGCCAGUACAACCGUCUUCUGAAUGUUGUUGACAUUAGAGGUAGGCCUUAUAUCAAAAUUGGAAACUAAGACAUCUGGCUUCUUUACUGUCUAGCAAACUGUAUCAGAGCAUAACGUGUAGCAGAACAAUGCUCAGAUAUGGUUCUCCCAAGCCAUAAGACUGUUGAUGAAAACUGGACUGACUCUUUGCUGCUAUGGCACCAACUGUACUGUACUUAAUAUACUGUAGGCAUCUACUUAUUUCAUUGUAUUGUGCACACUAUGCUGUAUUCCUGCUCAAAUGACAACUUUGAUUUAGAUUUCAUUUGAUCUAGUUUACCAUAACCCUGUUCACUCUUUUGCUAUUGUAAGAAUAUUCAAAGAUAAAUACACAACACAUAGGUCAAGAGGGAAUUAAUUAUCAAUGGAAAUAGUUGUUUUUCUG
rnacentral:lncRNA from 1 species